CCAUCUCGCUCUACCCCUUCUCUCCUCAUUUUGUGGUUUUCAACCUGUCUGCAUGUUGGAAUCGGCCAUGGUCAGGAUGUACCCCAGAAAAACUUGAUGGGACUCUUGGGGGUGGGGCCCAGGUACCAGGAUUUUUCUUGCUCCACCUGUAGAGAAUCACUGUCUUGGGCUCCUGUCCAGAUCAGCUUGGACUCCUUGGGCCAGCCCUGAGGCUGAGGGCAGCUGGUUCUGCCCGAGGGCUCACCCUUGCUCUGAGCUGCCUGCCUGCGGGCCUCCAGACCUCCAGGCUUUGAGGAAGUCUGAGCAUGACCAGCAUUCCUCUGGGGCAGGGUGUCUUCCUGGGCUUGGCUGGAGGAAGUUGGCACCCACAAGGCCCCAGCAUGAUGAGUCAUAGCUCACCAGGAGUGAUCCGGCCUGACUGGCCUGUGUCACCUUGGGUUGGUUUAAAACAGAUUCGUGGACACCCCACCUACACACAAACACUGAGUCCAAAGGUCUGGGGCAGGUCACACUUUAUUUUUAAGGUAAAUUGGAGUCAUAAGUGAAUCUUUACCACCUAUUAUUAACCUCUUUUUUUUUUUUUUAAGACAACAUGGACAAAACGCUUCCUUUGGGGGGUUAUACAGGAAGGGGCAGGCGAUGUGUUCUGAGCAGUCCACUGCUCCUGUGUGUCACAUUGUGCAGGGGUGCCCGGCGCCACUGCAGCCUCUUGGGACCAGGAGGAGAGUUGGGCCAGGUCAAGCUGACGGGUCCAGCAGAACACAAAGACCCUUGGCCCUGGAGUGGUCAGCCAUUGCAUGGACUCCUGCGCCCUGUUUGCAUGGAGGUCUCAGGCCCCGUGUGGGCCUCCAGUGGUAUUUGAGAAAAAGUUCACGCACGCAUUCCUGAAAAGUGGGUGGAAAGUGCUCACACACACUGCACGUCCUGUGCUUGGUCCUCACCUCUUCUUCGGUCUCCCCUGCAAGGAUGGACUGAUGGGUCAAGUGCUGUGGGAGUUGUCACACCUGGCAAUCUGGCUGCAGGAUGGCAUUCUCCCCGCUUCUCCAGUUGUGAGUUGGCCAGUUGAAGGUGGAGGCUGUCCCUAGGUGAGAGGAAUCUGGUGUUGCUGGGGUUGGUGGGAAGAGCUUGUUGAGACAAGUCCCCAGGACGUCUGCCAUGCUCACGCACCUACUGUGGGGACUGCCUGUCCCCAGUGAUUCACUGCAACAGGAGCACCAGCAGGUGGGCUCUUGCAGAGCUGCCUGUGAGCCCGCAGCCAGGUCCCCUGGGCCUGGGCUAACUCCUCGAACAGGCUGCUGGAGGCCCCAUGAGGGGGUGGGUGUGGAUCAUUUCCAGGCUCCUGGGUGCUGAACUGGCCUUUCUGAACCUCCUUCAGAGGUCUCCCCUUGCCCUAGCUGCAGAUGUGACCUGGAAUUCUUUGCCCCUGGGAUGCUGUUCUGCCCUUGUUUCUCAUCUGGACUUGUGAUUUGAGUUGCUGGUUCACUUUUGGUUUGGGUCUGCUUUUCCUCCGAGGGCAGGGCCUGCAUGUUCGCUGUUCUGCCAUCAGGUAGAUGCCCGGUAAACCAGUGAGGGAAGGAGGGCCUUCCCACUCUACAGGUAGGAGGAGUGGCCAAGCCAGGAUCCCAGCCGAGGUUUGUCCGGAUUCUGUGCUUUCUGGAAGGUACUUGUGAGCCUUUCUCGUGCUCAAGCUUGGGUUCAAAUUCAGGGGGAAUUGGAAGCAUGGAGGGAUAGGAACUUAAGUGGAGACCACUCAGCCAGAGGCUCAGUUUCCACAUCUGAAAAGUGGGCAUGAUAGGAAGCUAUGUCAUAAGAACGGGAACCCAGUAUAUAAAGCACGUUGCUGGCUUUUCGCCUGGCCCGGGGGCCUGGCCUAUCAAGAAACCAGCGCGACCUUCAACUUGGAUGAUCCUGGAUCCCGGCUGAGACCUUCGCAGCACUCACGACAUUCAGUGAGCUCCUUCCCGCCCCCUCGGCCACGUACCCGCAUAGGCUUGACCCCCUCAGGGCAUCCCAGGUCGUCCGCUUGGAGCCCCCUAAGUCCGUGCACCCUGCAUUCUCCGGCAGUGACUCACUUCCUGUUUGGGCCAAGGAAUGUGGAGACAGAACAACGCUGAGCCAGCUCCAUGGAAACUGGGCCCGCCCACCAGAACCUUAAAGCGACAGUCCUCCCAGGCCGGCUUGUCCUGGAUUGCAGAUGCAGGGACCAGGAAUGGGGGCGGGAGUUGAAUGCAAGGGCCCUGCUGCCACAGUCGUCAGCUCAGACUUGAUUUUUGGUUCCUUGAAGGAACUCCCUGCUGCCUCCACCCUUCCCAGGGCCCCUUAAUUGGGAAGGGUCUGCAUGCAGCCCCUGCCUGCCAACCAUUUUAACCUGCCGGCUCUGGGCCCCGCUGUUUCGUCUCAAGCUGGGUAACAGUACUCCGGGCUUCUGAGGAUGCGAGAGAGCCUGCCUGUCAGGGGCAGGUGGUGAGCAGAGCUGGCAGCCGCCAGAGGGGAGCAGUCGGCGCGCACAUCUGUCUCGACACAAGACAACCGGUGGCGUUUGCAAACACCACGGCGAGCUCGAGGUGGAGAGCGCUGUCUGGUGCCCUUGGGUCGGGAUGCUGGAGAUGGGUGGGUGACCUUCCAUGCCUUCAGAAACAGGGUCGGCUUUCGGGGCCUCACCUUCCCCAUCCUGCCUGCCCUGGAUUUGGGCUUGUGGGUUGGGAUGCCCGGAAGCCAGUGAUUGUACUCGCUGGUGCCUCUUUGGGUCUAGGUCCUGCUUCCCUAUCCCUGGGCUUCUUGUUUCCAGACUUCCAGGUGGGCCUCCUGUGGCGCCCUGAGCCUCCCUUCAGGGCUUUGUCCGCAAAAUUCCUAAGUCCCAAUUAUGGCUAUAAUCCUUCUGCUAGCCUUGGGCAAAAGACAAACCAUGGCUGUGUGCAGAGCAGGCUCCAGCCUCUGUGCGGGAGGGUGGGGCUGAAACAGGAAGCUGGCCAACCCUGCAGGAAUUCUUGUAAUGCUGAGAUGUGAGGGGUGGCGGCAGCUGUCACUGAAAACCAGCCCACCUCUCACUGUCUCCUGGGUGCUUUGCGUAAGUAUCCAAUUUCAUAGUUUUCCCCAGCUCCAGAAGCACGAGUAUGCCUGUGUUGCUAAUGAUCAGAAAGGGCGAGCCUCUUGCCUGGGGAGGCCCAGCUGGAGCUCCAACUUGGGCUUUUUAUCUCUAAAGUCUGAACUCAUCCCCUGUGUGACAUGGGUGGAGCGAGAUCCAGUGGGGAACGAUGACAUUUUUAUGUAUUCUGAAUACAUGGUAGUGUUUUAUGGUCUAAGUGCAGAGAGGUUUCUCAGUCCUGCCUUUAUCCAUUGAAUUAUGCUUUCAUUUUAUGGUAAAAAUGGAGCUCUUUAUUAAAAUGACUGGCUUAGAAUAUUAAUGCUUUAAAGAAGAAUAGCACCACAUCAGGACUAAAAGUAAUGCUGAGGUUCAGUUUCUGGAGCCAGGCUGCCUGAUUUGAAUCAUGGCUCUAGCACUUGGCCAAUCAUGUGAUCUUAAGCAAAUCCAAUGAACCUUUUUGGGCCUCAGUUUCCUCAUCUGUAAAACAUGGGUAAUGAUGGUUUCUUUUCAAGUUGUUAGGAAGCCUAAAUGAAUUUAAUGACUUUACUAAUUAUAAAGUCUUUAGUACUUGCCAUACAGUCAGUACUACCUAAGUAUUUAUUAAAUAGUCUACAUAGAUACAGUAGAGUGAUCCUCAGCACAGAUGGAACUAAUAUCCCUGUCUCCCCCAAAUUCCCAUUCUUGUUCUCGCCCCAGAGGCAAUUUCUUUUCUUUUCUUUUUUUUUAAAGACCAUUUAUUUAAAGUCUUUUAAUUUAAAAGAAAAUUUUACAGAAUACAUUUUGAUUCAUUGCACACAGAUGGGGUCCAACUUUUCAUUUCUAUGCCCAGAAGUAAUUUUUGAUAUCAGUUUGCUCUCUGCCUUUCUGGGCUGGGGGUUAGCAAACUACCGACUGUGAGCCAAAUCGAGUUCAUUGUCUUUGUAAAUCAAGAUUUAUUGCAGCACUGACACUGGCUGGUCUAUGGUCUGUGGCUGCCUUCUUGGUGCUGCGUAGUUGUGACCCAGACAAAAGUAUGUGCUCCUUGAUGUUUUGCAAAAAAAGAAAAAAAAAAUAAAAAACACCAAAAAACAAAAAACAAAAACAAAAAAACAAGGAACUGUGAAGGAAUUCACAGUUGAGAGCUGGAUGCAGGGGUGCACACUUGUGAUCCCAGCAACUUGGGAGGCUGAGGCAGGAGUAUCCCAAGUUCAAGGCCAGCCUGGGCAAGUUAGCAAGACCCUGUCUUAAAAUAAAAAGGACUUGGAAUGUAGCUCAGUGGUUAAGCAUCCCUGGGUUCAAUCCCCAGUACUGAAAAAUAAAAAAUAAAAAGAAUUGAGAGCUGAGACUAGUUAAGGUAAUUUUGAAAUAAGAGAAAUUAUGACUUAAUUAUAGCAAUAAUUAAAAGUUAGGAAGUUAGGUGCAGGGCUUGGGACAUAGCUCACUCAAUUGGUAGAGGGCUUGCCUCGCAUGCACAAGGCCCUGGGUUCAAUCCCCAGCACCAAAAAAAAAAAAAAAAAAAAAAAAAAAAAAAAAAAAGUGAGGGCAUGGGGAAGCAGGAUAGCCGCUUGAUAGAACACCCAGGUUUAUGAGAAUUUGGUCUUCUGUCAAGAAGUAACAAAAUGAGAGGGAGGGGUACAUUUAUCAAGUAAUAGCAUUGGGAAAAGAUUAUUUGGGGGAAAAAAUGAAGAUAGAGCAUCUUGUGUACUGAAUACAUUAAAAAAGAUUAAAGGGCUAAAUGAAAAAUAAACAUUUAAAACUGGAGGAAAAUAUAUGUAUAUUAUCAACUUUAUAAGCAUAGAGACAAUGAACAAUAUUUUUCUAAAAUACUGAUUAUGAGCAUAAAUGUAAAUUUUUAUCAGCAGUAAGAAUGACAAAUUGAAGUUCCCAGUAUACAGGCACAGACAUUUUUACAUAUGAAUAAGAAGUGCUAUGUCAGCUGGGUGCGGUGGUGCAGCCUCUAAUCCCACUGGCUUCGGAGGCUGAGGCAGGAGGAUCGCCAGCCUCAGCAAUUUAGCAAGGCUCUAAGCAACUCAAUGAGACCUGUCUCUAAAUAAAAUGGCCGGUGCAGAGGGAAGGGGGGGAUAAAGUUCCUCCCAUGCUUUUCAUCAAAGCAAAACAAAAGGGUUGGGGAUGUGGCUCAGUAGUUAAGCGUCUCUGGGUUCAAUCUCUAGUACCAAAAAAAAAAAAAAAAAAAAAGGAAGGAAAUGAAAAAGUAAUAUAUCAAAAAGGAAAAAUUAAAAAAAAUAAUAAGAGUGAGUUUUCAGAGGUAGAAAUCCAAAUGGCCAAUCAAUACUUGGAAAAAAAAGUUCAACAUUUCCUUGCUUGUAGUUUCGAUUUUAAAAAUAGACACUGCUUUGAAUGGGUUUAAGGCUAGGUGGCCAAUACUCAGUGCUGGGGGUUCAGAGGUGACGUGCCCUCACGCACUGCUCCUGAGACAUGCUAAAACAUCUUCGGAAAUAAGUUGGCUCAAUCUAUCGAGAUCUUUAAAAGUGAUCCUAGCUUUGCAUCCUGUGACCUUAUUUCUACACCUGCUUUCCAAGGGCACAAUGAGAGUUGGGGAAGCGGAUUCUUACGCACUGGUAUGAACCAUCGGGUCACCUGGAGCCCUCCCGCGGGGCGACGGGCCACACACCUUGUUAAGCUUCACCGGGUGUACUGCGGGUCCUCAGGAGGCUGGGGGGUGCUCAUAAGGAGGAGAAACACGUAACCGCGCCAUCUGCUUUGCCUGGGAGAGUGGCGGAGUUUUCCAGAAACCCUGGCUGCUGUCAUUAUGGACAUGAAACGUCCAGCGACCUCCUCCCUUCCCUUCUCCUGCCUCGUCCCUUCUUUAGCUCUGUCAUCGCUCAGCUGAGGGCAGCUGAGGGCAGCAUCGCAGGUGGGCCCGUCGGGAAGGUUGUGGGUGUUGGUUCCUGGUGGCCGGAAGUCUCACCCUCCGGAAGGCAGCCCCCCCCCCCAGGAGAGUGCAGCCUUCCCUUUAGAGGUGUUCCCUGGCCUUCACCGGGCUCCGUUUCUGGCUGGACACUGCCAUCUAGAGGCUCCUGCACCGCAGGGCAUUCGACCCUUGUAGCCCUGUACACUGACCCCUCGGACAGCUGCUCAUUUCCUGGAAGUCAGCAUUAGAAGGACCCUCCCAGAUGCCUAUGUCAAGAUCCCUAGCAGGGCAACGAAGCCUUUGGAACAGUUUCUUUAACGGUGGUCCUUGGACCUGAACCAAGGUCAGCUGGUGGGAGACUUAAGAGUCGAGAUCCCAGGGUCUGUCUCCAAGCCCCUGACUCGGACCUAGCUGGCAGGGAAGGGGUGCUGAAUAUCUAAAUUAUGCCUGUCCUCCAAGUGAUUCUGAAGGGUGAGAACCACCAACACAGACCAGGGACACUUUGUGGUUUGGCGGUGGUGGACUGAGCGCAGACCCGUGAAAAUCGAUGGGACCACAGACUCCCUGGAGGCACACGAUACCUCCAGGAUUCUUAUGCUUUGGGGCUCACUGUUGCACUGUGGACUCAGGACAAGGAGUAGUAUGUGUUUGCUGGCCUCUUGCUUGGGGCCAGACCCUCUGCCUGGGGACACAGUUGUGGACAGGACCUGGUUACUGCCCAUAUGGAGUUUAUAGGACCACGAGACCAGGCAGUGGGACCAGACCUUGCAAAGGGUCUGGGUCAAGGGAGUGUAGUUGACAAGAACAGAAGGCAGUUUGGGGCCCUUGGAGAAGCAGGAGGGGGACCACUGGAGAAAUGGAGGGGUGGGCAAGCUCAGUCCAGGCCAGACCAGCUGGGUCAGGAUAAAGGACUCAGACUUCAGCUCAAGACUGAGGACAGCCAGUACACAGCACAUACGUACUCAAGGGGACCGAAACGGUUCACCGCCAAGCUCCCAGGCCAGCGUUCGUAGCGGCAUCUCUCACGAUAACUCCAGAGGAGAACAGUCUACGUGUCCGUCAAUGGAUGUUUAAGCAAAAUACAGAUAUCCACACAAUGGAGUAUUAUUCAUCUGGGAGAAGGAAUGAAGCGCUGAUUCCUGCUGCAACGCGGCAGAAACUCGGAAAGACGAUGCUCUCCGGGUGCCAUGGCGCAUGCCUGUAAUCCCGGCAACAGGAGGCCGAGAUGGGAGGAUCACAAGUUCAAGGUCAGCCUGGGAUGUCCUCCACUUCAUCCAUUUUCCUGCAGAUGACAUGACUUCAUUCCUCUUUCUGGCUGAACAGUACUCCGUGUACAUAUAUCCCACAAGUAUGUACAUUUAUCCAUUGGUCAGCUGACGGACACCUCGCUGAUCCCGCAUCUUGGCUCUUGAGAAGCAAUCCCCGAGGGAGGUGCAGAUAUUGCUGUGUUGGGUUGCAGGCAUAAUGGCUGGAGACAGAGCCUUCAUCUGGAGCAUGAUGUCACUUUAGGAAUGAAGAGUGGCUCGUAUCCACAGUGGAUCAAGGAGACGGAAGGAAGUCCUUUCCCUGAUACCUGGAUCCACCACACCAGCACCAGAUCACCUGGUACCAGGUUUUUAUGUCACAGCAAAGUCAACUUGUACCUUAUUUAGGUCACUACCAUUUUGUGUUCUGUUACUCAUACCUGAGCUUGAUCCUAAUAAAUGUACUACCUCACAGA